ACAGCAGUAGCCGCGGUAAUACGGAGGGUGCAAGCGUUAAUCGGAAUUACUGGGCGUAAAGCGCACGCAGGCGGUCUGACAAGUCAGAUGUGAAAUCCCCGGGCUUAACCUGGGAACUGCAUUUGAAACUGUCAGGCUGGAGUCUUGUAGAGGGGGGUAGAAUUCCAGGUGUAGCGGUGAAAUGCGUAGAGAUCUGGAGGAAUACCGGUGGCGAAGGCGGCCCCCUGGACAAAGACUGACGCUCAGGUGCGAAAGCGUGGGGAGCAAACAGGAUUAGAUACCCCGGUAGUCCCUGUCUCUUAUCC
rnacentral:rRNA from 1 species